rnacentral:rRNA from 1 species
AUACGGAGGGUCCAAGCGUUAAUCGGAAUUACUGGGCGUAAAGCGUACGUAGGUGGCUUGAUUAGUCGGAUGUGAAAGCCCUGGGCUCAACCUGGGAACUGCAUUCGAUACUGUCAGGCUAGAGUAUAGUAGAGGGAAGUGGAAUUCCGGGUGUAGCGGUGAAAUGCGUAGAUAUCCGGAGGAACACCAGUGGCGAAGGCGGCUUCCUGGACUAAUACUGACACUGAGGUACGAAAGCGUGGGGAGCAAACAGGAUUAGAAACCCCAGUAGUCC